GAACUCAGGGUUCUCUUCACACAAGUACAGACACAAACCCUCAAACAUUUAUCAAGUCUUAUAAAUAACAACAGAUGGAUGAGAGAGAGUAGAGGGCAUCUUGAACCAAAGGAUAAGGUAAACAAACAAACACCAAUUCAUACAAGUCAAUGGAUCAGUCACUCAAUUUCAGCACAGUUAAGAGUGGACCUAGCAGAAAGGAACUCUGACAAGCUGAGCUUCAAGAACACCUUCUGCAUAAGAACUCUGCUCACAAAUGGAAAUAAGAAGUCUGGAAAAUUGCCAGCUCCUCGCAGAAAAGGCUGAAAGAUGACGGGCAGAGAAGGAUGUUGGUGUCGGUAAGACAAAAAUGAUUGAAGUUGCAUCAUCUGUAUGAUUAAAUUCACUGUGUGAAUUUUGAUUUCCCCCCCUACUUUCAGACAUUUGAGGAUGCAGUCAAGUCAAUGGAGUUCUGUUGUAGUGGUUGCUUCAGUGAACAUUCAACGCUGUCGGCCUUAACACCGAAGAUAGCCACCUAACCAUCAUAGGAUGUUUCUCCCUCACCCUGCCAAGCUUUACAAAAAGGUCACAAUCAACAUUCAUUGCUGUCGGUGGGUUUAACUAUGUGGACAAGCUCACUGAACAAUGAAUGCAACUGUGGCCCCACAUUGUACAGUUGCUGUUGAGAGGAGCAGCAGCUCUGAAGGCAAUAGUGAGAAGGAAACGUUUCUUAUAAGCUACAGUUUUCUGGUCAGAGAAAUAGUUGGGAGUAUCCACUUUUUGCUUGCUUGGUUUUGAGUGUGUUUAACUUAGCUGACUAGAAAAGAAAACCCGCUGCCUUUUUCCGGGGAAUUGUCCUCACAGGCUUCAGUACCAAUGAAAAUGUGAAAAUUCUUAUUUAAUAUGUAUGCAGAAAAAAUAACAGGACAGGAUGCUCUGUAUAUCCACUCCUAAGGGCUGAUACAAGAGGAAAGAAUACUUAAUUGCCAUUUAACUAGGCAUUUUUGAAGAGUUCAAAAGGUUAUUUUAUGCUUGUCAUGACAAAUACAGCUGGGAACAGAUGGGAUUUAAAAGUUAUGGAUAAAAAUGUUAUAUCAAAAAAUAUUAAUUAAUUUUACAUGAAACUGAUUUUAGGAAAACAAAUAUUAUUGCAUUUGCUCUUUUUAGGGAUCUGAAAGAUGACAAAAUUAUAUCCAGAAAUAAUAAUGGAAAAGCAGUUAAAUUGUUAAGUUACUGUAAACUGAGUACCUAUGUCACACUCUGAGUUUUGUGAUGAGAAAAUAAAAAGUGCAAAUAAGCCCACA